CCUCGUGUUGCAUCCCUCUUUUUUUUGGUUUUUCUCUUAUUUUGUUUUGUUAAAAAUGUUAUGUACUCUAUAACUUUUGGCCCGUGAGGCAAAACUUGGCAUGUGAUACCUUUUCGGAAAGCCCAAAGAGAGCUCUCCGAUGAAUGAGGAAAGAAAAUGGAAUUCUUGUAUUGGUUUUUUUUUCUACUCCAAAUUUUGACCUUAAUGUACUUUUUCGAGCCUUUUCGUGAUCUUUGCUAUAUUACGGGGCGAAAAUUAUAUGUUCGGACAUUGUUUUCGAAUAUUUGGCAUGUAUCAAAGCUCUAAUAAACAAGAUAGGGUAUUCCUACAUAGCUAGUGGGACCCACGACAAAUGGAUCAUAAAGUCUUAAAAAAGAAUAGAUACGAUUGCAUUGCAUGUAUUAACGAUC
rnacentral:rRNA from 1 species